rnacentral:rRNA from 1 species
AUUGAACGCUGGCGGCAUGCUUUACACAUGCAAGUCGAACGGCAGCGCGGGCUUCGGCCUGGCGGCGAGUGGCGAACGGGUGAGUAAUGCAUCGGAACGUGCCCAGUAGUGGGGGAUAGCCCGGCGAAAGCCGGAUUAAUACCGCAUACGACCUGAGGGUGAAAGCGGGGGACCGAAAGGCCUCGCGCUAUUGGAGCGGCCGAUGUCGGAUUAGCUAGUUGGUGGGGUAAAGGCUUACCAAGGCGACGAUCCGUAGCUGGUCUGAGAGGACGACCAGCCACACUGGGAGUGAGACACGGCCCAGACUCCUACGGGAGGCAGCAGUGGGGAAUUUUGGACAAUGGGGGCAACCCUGAUCCAGCCAUGCCGCGUGCGGGAAGAAGGCCUUCGGGUUGUAAACCGAUUUUGUUCGGGAAGAAAUCCUCUGGGCUAAUACCCCGGGGGGAUGACGGUACCGGAAGAAUAAGCACCGGCUAACUACGUG